AUUGAACGCUGGCGGCAGGCCUAACACAUGCAAGUCGAGCGGAGCGGCGGACGGGUGAGUAAUGUCUGGGAAACUGCCUGGUAGUGGGGGAUAACGUCCGGAAACGGGCGCUAAUACCGCAUAAUAUAAAAUGAGCCUAGGACGGAUUGGCUAGGUGGUGGGGUAAAGGCCUACCAAGGCGACGAUCCGUAAUUGGUCUGAGAGGUUGAUCAUUCACACUGGAACUGAGACACGGUCCAGACUCCUACGGGAGGCAGCAGUGGGGAAUAUUGGACAAUGGGCGAAAGCCUGAUCCAGCCAUGCCGCGUGUGUGAAGAAGGUCUUCGGAUUGUAAAGCACUUUAAGUUGGGAGGCGUUACCAACAGAAUAAGCACCAGCUAACUUCGUGCCAGCAGCCGCGGUAAUUC
rnacentral:rRNA from 1 species